AAAGUUUGACUCUGCACUACAAUAUUAUUUAUUAUUUAAAUUUACACCAUUAUAAUAUUUGGGGUCAGACCCUACAGUAUUGAGAUUAAGAAAUCAAAUAUUCUUCAAAAUGUAAAUACACUGAACUCAUUUGGAUAUAUUUAAGUGAGACUCUACAAUAUUAUUUGACACAAAUCUAUCUAAAUCAACAUUUUAAUAAUUUCCACGCCAAACAUUUACUGGACUGAUUUAAAUAUUAAAAUCACUCCUUUCUAAUCCUCUGCUGUACGUUCAAACCUGAGGCCUUAAAUAGAAACACACAAGUAUCUGAUUGAAGGAACUUCUGCAGAGUCCUGGUUCCAGAACAUGAUGAUAGAAUUAUAGACAAACUUUAACAAAAGCUGCCUGAGAGUUUACAGGUUUUUAUGUUCGAUUUCUUCACUAAUUUAAUGAGUUAUCAGCAAAAAUCAAGUGUUCAUUUGAUGAACUUCAUUUCCUAAAACAUCCAGAAUUGGAGCUCAUAUCUUUGGCAGCUGUAAAGUUUCUGCUCCUUCAAAGUUCACAACACAAUGAAUGAAUUCCUAAAACACUCUCAAUGCUGGAGAGCGUUUGUGAUGCUGAAGCAGUGACCAGUUUUUCUGUUUCUUCUCUGGAGAUGCACAAUGAGGGACGUCUGCAGAGACUGAGAAAGAGUCUCACCACAUCCUGACAUGAGGAAAAAGACUUUAUUGAAGACUACAAUGAGAAAAACUAUCAGACAGCAGACGGCUGCAUUCAAGUCUGUAGCUGCUGAAUUCAUGGAUGAAUCAUCUGGCACUAGAGAGGAAGACCAUCAAACAUCCACGUCAGCUGAUGGCGGUCCAAGAGUCUCACCCAACAAACAACCUACAGAGUGAAGACCUCGAAUUUGAUUGGACGGCCUCCUAUUCAGCCACAUGUGUGAACAAAUGCCGCCGAGCCUCGGUCCAGCCGGCCGCCUGUCUGUGGGUGUUUGAGUGCUGAGAGGUUUGUGGAUGCAUGUGAACGUUCUGUGUUGAAACAGCAGCUUUUCACUCAGUAAUGGCACUAAAAAUGAAGAGCUCCUUUAUUUGUGACUUCCACUAAAAAAACUGAUGAAAAUAAGUUUGCCAGGGUUCUGACUGAUAACAGAUUAUUAAAUAAUGAAAAUAAUUGUUUAAAUAUUCCUUUAAACAAUCCUUUUAGGUCUACAUUUCCUUUACACUGACUUCUUGGUAUAUGUACAAGUAUUUUGGGUGGAAUAUACCAUUAAGCCCAAUGUUCAAGGGUUCUUCUGGGAAUAUACCAUUAAACCAACCUUUUAGGUAAAUGUUCCAGGAUGUUGGGUAGAAUAUACCAUCAGAUCAACCUUUUAGGUCUACAGUGGAAGAUUUUAGAGUAGAAUAUUACUCCAAACCAUCCUUUAGGUCUACAUUUAAGGUGGAAUACUCCUUUACACCAAGAUUUUUUGGUCUACAUUGAAGGAUUUUAGGUGGAAUAUUCCUUUGAACAAACUUUUUAAGUUUAUGUUCAAGGAUGUUGGGUGGAAUAUACCAUCAGACCAACCUCCAAGGUCUACAGUAGUGAAUUUUAGGUGGAAUAUACCAUUAAACUCACCUUUUAGGUCUACAUUGGAGGAUUUUAGGUGGAAUUUUCUUCCAAACCGUCUUUUAGUCUACAUUUAAGGAUGUUUAGGAUGGUAUAUUCUUCCAAACCAACUUCUCAGGUCUACAUUUCAGGUGGAAUAUUCCUCCAUACUAACUUUUUUGGUCUACACUGAAGAAUUUUUUCUAAACCACCCUUUCAGGUCUAUAUUUGAGGUUUUAGGUGGAAUAUUCCUUUUAACCAGCCCCUCAGGUCUCUUUGAGGAUUUUGGAUGGAAUACUCGGUUAAACCAACAUUUUAGGUGCAUGUCCAAGGAUUUUUGGUGGAAUGUUCCUUUAAGGUGGAUGUUUGAGGACCUUGUAGGUGGAAUACUUCCUGAAACCAACCUUUUAGGUCAACAUUCAAAGAUUUAAGGUGGAAUAUUCCUUUAAACCAACCUAAAUUUCAUGUUUUGAUCAUUAUCAAGUGAGAAACCUCAAUCCAGACUCCUCAUAAUGACGUUUGAGAUUUAUGCUGCUGUUAUUUGUUUAGUCCAGACUAAAUGACAGAAAUCCACAACUGUAAUUUUAUUUCAGGACUCGGUUAUUAAAUGUCAAAACAAUCCAUGUGACUCUAAAAACUCAACAGCUUUACAAACUCUAAGAUUAAACUCUCCACAAGGAUCCAAAAUAAGUUGGACUUCUACAUGAGAGCUUUAAUUAUUCUUCAUCUACUUCCUGAAAAGUUUGGUCAAUAAAAAAGACAAAAACUAAUAUUUUCAGCUGAACUAAAGACAGACUUUGUGAUUUUUCUGCUCACAUGUUGUGUUGUUGUAAACUUACUCUUUCAAAUAAAUAUCCUCCUAACCCCCUGGAAA